rnacentral:rRNA from 1 species
CGCGUAGGCGGUGCGGUAAGUCUGGUGUGAAACCUCUGAGCUCAACUCAGAGCUGGCAUCAGAAACUGCCGUGCUAGAGUGCGGGAGAGGAGAGUGGAAUUCCCGGUGUAGCGGUGAAAUGCGUAGAUAUCGGGAGGAACAUCGGUGGCGAAGGCGGCUCUCUGGACCGCAACUGACGCUGAGGCGCGAAAGCCAGGGGAGCAAACAGGAUUAGAUACCCUGGUAGUCCUGGCUGUAAACGAUGGAACACUUGGUAUAGCGGGUAUCGAAUCCCGCUGUGCCGGAGCUAACGCAUUAAGUGUUCCGCCUGGGGAGUACGGUCGCAAGCCUGAA